rnacentral:rRNA from 1 species
AGUGAACGCUGGCGGUAGGCCUAACACAUGCAAGUCGAACGGAAGCACAGUAAGAGCUUGCUCUUACGGGUGGCGAGUGGCGGACGGGUGAGGAAUACAUCGGAAUCUACUUUUUCGUGGGGGAUAACGUAGGGAAACUUACGCUAAUACCGCAUACGACCUACGGGUGAAAGCAGGGGACCUUCGGACCUUGCGCGAUUGAAUGAGCCGAUGUCGGAUUAGCUAGUUGGCGGGGUAAAGGCCCACCAAGGCGACGAUCCGUAGCUGGUCUGAGAGGAUGAUCAGCCACACUGGAACUGAGACACGGUCCAGACUCCUACGGGAGGCAGCAGUGGGGAAUAUUGGACAAUGGGCGCAAGCCUGAUCCAGCCAUACCGCGUGGGUGAAGAAGGCCUUCGGGUUGUAAAGCCCUUUUGUUGGGAAAGAAAAGCAGCAGGUUAAUACCCCGCUGUUCUGACGGUACCCAAAGAAUAAGCACCGGCUAACUUCGUG